rnacentral:rRNA from 1 species
CCUACGGGUGGCAGCAGUGCGGAAUAUUGGUCAAUGGGCGCGAGCCUGACCCAGCCAAGUAGCGUGAAGGAUUACUGCCCUACGGGUUGUAAACUUCUUUUAUAAAGGAAUACAGUGAGGCACGUGUGCAUUUUUGUAUGUACUUUAUGAAUAAGGAUCGGCUAACUCCGUGCCAGCAGCCGCGGUAAUACGGAGGAUUCGAGCGUUAUCCGGAUUUAUUUGGUUUAAAGGGAGCGUAGAUGGGUUGUUAAGUCAGUUGUGAAAGUUUGCGGCUCAACCGUAAGAUUGCAAUGGAUACUGGCAGACUUGAGUACAGUUGAGGUAGGCGGAAUUCGUGGUGUAGCGGUGAAAUGCUUAGAUAUCACGAAGAACACCGAUUGCGAAGGCAGCUUACUAAACUGCCACUGACAUUGAUGCUCGAAAGUGUGGGUAUCAAACAGGAUUAGAUACCCUGGUAGUC